rnacentral:rRNA from 1 species
CUACGGGGUGCUGCAGUGGGGAAUAUUGCACAAUGGGCGCAAGCCUGAUGCAGCCAUGCCGCGUGUAUGAAGAAGGCCUUCGGUUUGUAAAGUACUUUCAGCGGGGAGGAAGGGAGUAAAGUUAAUACCUUUGCUCAUUGACGUUACCCGCAGAAGAAGCACCGGCUAACUCCGUGCCAGCAGCCGCGGUAAUACGGAGGGUGCAAGCGUUAAUCGGAAUUACUGGGCGUAAAGCGCACGCAGGCGGUUUGUUAAGUCAGAUGUGAAAUCCCCGGGCUCAACCUGGGAACUGCAUCUGAUACUGGCAAGCUUGAGUCUCGUAGAGGGGAGUAGAAUUCCAGGUGUAGCGGUGAAAUGCGUAGAGAUCUGGAGGAAUACCGGUGGCGAAGGCGGCCCCCUGGACGAAUACUGACGCUCAGGUGCGAAAGCGUGGGGAGCAAACAGUAUUAGAUACCCUCGUAGUC